GUUCCCGUGGCUCAACUGGACAGAGCACCUCGCUUCGGACGAGGAGAUUGGGGGUUCGAGUCCCUCCGGGAACG
rnacentral:tRNA from 1 species